rnacentral:rRNA from 1 species
GAUGAACGCUAGCUACAGGCUUAACACAUGCAAGUCGAGGGGAAACGACAUCGAAAGCUUGCUUUUGAUGGGCGUCGACCGGCGCAUGGGUGAGUAAUGCGUAUCCAACCUGCCCAUCACUUGGGAAUAACACUGCGAAAGUAAGACUAAUACCCAAUGAUAUGCCACGAAGGCAUCGGAAUGGGUCUAAAGAUUUAUCGGUGAUGGAUGGGGAUGCGUCUGAUUAGCUUGUUGGCGGGGUAACGGCCCACCAAGGCAACGAUCAGUAGGGGUUCUGAGAGGAAGGGCCCCCACAGUGUGACUGAGACCCUGUCCAAACUCCUACGGGAGGCAGCAGUGAGGAAUAUUGGUCAAUGGGCGAGAGCCUGAUCCGGCGAAGUAGCGUGCAGGAAGACGGCCCUAUGGGUUGUAAACUGCUUUUAGAAGGGAAUAAAGUGGGUCACGUGUGACUUUUUGCAUGUACCUUAUAAAUAAGGACCGGCUAAUUCCGUG